UACGGAGGAUGCGAGCGUUAUCCGGAUUUAUUGGGUUUAAAGGGUGCGUAGGCGGGCCUUUAAGUCAGCGGUGAAAGUUCCCGGCUCAACCGGGUCAGUGCCGUUGAUACUGAAGGUCUUGAAUGCGGUCAAGGUAGGCGGAAUGUGAUGUGUAGCGGUGAAAUGCAUAGAUAUGUCACAGAACUCCGAUAGCGAAGGCAGCUUGCCGGACCUGCAUUGACGCUGAGGCACGAAAGCGUGGGGAUCAAACAGG
rnacentral:misc_RNA from 1 species